rnacentral:misc_RNA from 1 species
AACACUGUUAACCUGCGGUACCUGCGGAGGGAUCAUUAUAGUAUAUGGAAUCUCCACUCUAUAAACCCACUCUGCGUAUCUUGUAACUGUUGCUUCCAUGGGACUUGGUUCCGCCACACCGGCUUCACGGCUGGUGAGCGCCCAUGGAAGGAGAAACAAAACUCUUCUUUGAAAUGUAGUCAGUCUGAACAAGUUUUUAUAAACGUUAAAACUUUUAGCAACGGAUCUCAGAUCGGAAGA